rnacentral:rRNA from 1 species
AUCGAACGCUGGCGGCAGGCUUAACACAUGCAAGUCGAGCGGGGGAGGUUGCUUCGGUAACUGACCUAGCGGCGGACGGGUGAGUAAUGCUUAGGAAUCUGCCUAUUAGUGGGGGACAACAUCCCGAAAGGGAUGCUAAUACCGCAUACGUUCUACGGGAGAAAGCAGGGGACCUUCGGGCCUUGCGCUAAUAGAUGAGCCUAAGUCGGAUUAGCUAGUUGGGGGGGUAAAGGCCUACCAAGGCGACGAUCUGUAGCGGGUCGGAGAGGAUGGUCCGCCACACUGGGACUGAGACACGGCCCAGACUCCUACGGGAGGGAGGAGUGGGGAAUAUUGGACAAUGGGGGGAACCCUGAUCCAGCCAUGCCGCGUGUGUGAAGAAGGCCUUUUGGUUGUAAAGCACUUUAAGCGAGGAGGAGGCUACUGGUAUUAAUACUACCGGAUAGUGGACGUUACUCGCAGAAUAAGCACCGGCUAACUCUGUGCCAGCAGCCGCGGUAAUAC